rnacentral:rRNA from 1 species
CCUACGGGUGGCAGCAGUGGGGAAUCUUCCGCAAUGGGCGAAAGCCUGACGGAGCAACGCCGCGUGAUCGAAUGAAGGCCUUCGGGUUGUAAAGUUCUGUUGACAGGGACGAAUAAGCAAUGCGAAUAGUUUUGUGUAUGACGGUACCUCUUGAAUAAGCCACGGCUAACUACGUGCCAGCAGCCGCGGUAAUACGUAGGUGGCAAGCGUUGUCCGGAUUUACUGGGUGUAAAGGGCGUGUAGCCGGGCUGACAAGUCAGAUGUGAAAUUCCGGGGCUCAACCCCGGACCUGCAUUUGAAACUGGUGGUCGUGAGUAUCGGAGAGGCAGGCGGAAUGCCUAGUGUAGCGGUGAAAUGCGUAGAUAUUAGGAGGAACACCAGUGGCGAAGGCGGCCUGCUGGACGACAACUGACGGUGAGGCGCGAAAGCGUGGGGAGCAAACAGGAUUAGAUACCCCAGUAGUC